GACGAACGCUGGCGGCGCGCUUAACACAUGCAAGUCGAACGGAAAGGCCCUGCUUUUGUGGGGUGCUCGAGUGGCGAACGGGAGCGUAACACGUGAGUACCCUGCCCUUGCCUUUGGGAUAACUUCAGGAAACUGGGGCUAAUACCGGAUAGGAGCUCCUGCUGCAUGGUGGGGGUUGGAAAGUUUCGGCGGUUGGGGAUGGACUCGCGGCUUAUCAGCUUGUUGGUGGGGUAGUGGCUUACCAAGGCUUUGACGGGUAGCCGGCCUGAGAGGGUGACCGGCCACAUUGGGACUGAGAUACGGGCCAGACUCCUACGGGAGGCAGCAGUGGGGAAUAGUGCACGAUGGGCGGCAGCCUGAUGCAGCAACGCCGCGUGCGGGAUGACGGCCUUCGGGUGGUAAACCGCUUUCGCCUGUGACGAAGCGUGAGUGACGGUAAUGGGUAAAGAAGCACCGGGUAACUACGUG
rnacentral:rRNA from 1 species